UACGUAGGGCGCAAGCGUUGUCCGGAAUUAUUGGGCGUAAAGAGCUCGUAGGCGGUUUGUCGCGUCUGCCGUGAAAGUCCGGGGCUCAACUCCGGAUCUGCGGUGGGUACGGGCAGACUAGAGUGAUGUAGGGGAGACUGGAAUUCCUGGUGUAGCGGUGAAAUGCGCAGAUAUCAGGAGGAACACCGAUGGCGAAGGCAGGUCUCUGGGCAUUCCCUGACGCUGAGGAGCGAAAGUGUGGGGAGCGAACAGG
rnacentral:rRNA from 1 species